AAAGAGCUCGGUUUACUCACAGAGGCGCUUUACUCAAAAACCUUUUUGUUUCAACAGAGCAAGUUCCAAAGUAGCAAAGCAGGAGAUAUAUCAUGAAGUUACUGGGCUGGAUGCACCGGAAGUUCAGACAGAAUAGCAAUGAAUCACUCAAGGAUUUUGUCAUUGAAAAUUCUGG